UACUAACAUGAUCUUUACAUUUUCUCCGCUAAAGAUUUUUUUUUUCUUUUUUAUUAUUCAUAGAAAAUGUGUUUAUCUACUGAGGUAAUGUUAAUUGGUGAAGCUGCUUAAUUCUUACAUGAAAGAUAAAAAGCACUAGCUCCGUUUUUGGUCUUGUCUAAAUUACGCAGACAAAGGUCUGUAUUUGUCAUAGGCAAUAGUAAUGCGUCAGCAGUUCAGAUUAUGAACUUUUUAAUGGGAAAGAGUGACCUAAGAACUAUUUUUAUCACUUUUCAUGUUAUUUGGAUCAUUUAAAGGAUAACACCCUGGUCCCGCUGCUGUUGCUUUUUCAGGACAA
rnacentral:misc_RNA from 1 species